AGAGGAACCCCAUCAAACUUGGAUUUUGUAAGUAGUUGCGAAUGAACACAAAUUUGAUCACUUUGGCAAUCUGUACACAUUGCUGUGUAACAAUUUGUAUACGUUGGCACAGUGCUAUCAAAGCUGCAUGCAAGUGUUUUUUGAAAGGAUACAACAUGGGAUGUGAUAUUCAUGUGUGUGUGCCUGCUUUGUCCACAGCCUGUGCUGUAUGAAUCACAUUUCUUGCAACUGAAAUGCUAAUGGCAUGGUAAAGUUCAUGUGACAUGACACAAGCUUGAGAUUCAUGAUGUGCAAGUACCAUGAGGGAAAUGUGAAAAGGACUUUGGAAAGAGAAUUAAAUAAAGCCUGCAUUUGCUGACAAUGAAAGCAAGUGUGGAUGUUCAUGUAAUUGUUACUGCAUCAAUCAAUGUUCAUCUUGGUUACUGCAUGCUUUAUAUUACAGCUCAGAACAUGAAGUGUGUGUAACAGCUCUGCUUUGAUUUUUCCCACAUGGGAUCAGUUGAAACAUUGUGAGAGCACUCUUCAGUUUCCUUAUGUACCCACCAGCUUUGUCCACUCGCGUGUUGGCACACAUGUAAUGAUGAUGUGUUUAUGCAAGAUACUUCUGUGCUCAACAACAUGUUGUGUCAAUCCUCACUUGACCC
rnacentral:rRNA from 1 species